rnacentral:tRNA from 1 species
GGUCGCGUGGCCCAAUGGCAAGGCGUUUGACUACGAAUCAGAAGAUUGCGGGUUCGAUCCCCGUCGUGACCU